AUUGAACGCUGGCGGCAGGCUUAACACAUGCAAGUCGAGCGGGGGAAGGUAGCUUGCUACCGGACCUAGCGGCGGAUGGGUGAGUAAUGCUUAGGAAUCUGCCUAUUAGUGGGGGACAACAUCUCGAAAGGGAUGCUAAUACCGCAUACGUCCUACGGGAGAAAGCAGGGGAUCUUCGGACCUUGCGCUAAUAGAUGAGCCUAAGUCGGAUUGGCUAGUUGGUGGGGUAAAGGCCUACCAAGGCGACGAUCUGUAGCGGGUCUGAGAGGAUGAGCCGCCACACUGGGACUGAGACACGGCCCUGACUCCUACGGGAGGAAGCAGUGGGGAAUAUUGGACAAUGGGGGGAACCCUGAUCUAGCCAUGCCGCGUGUGUGAAGAAGGCCUUAUGGUUGUAAAGCACUUUAAGCGAGGAGGAGGCUACUCUAGUUAAUACCUAGGGAUAGUGGACGUUACUCGCAGAAUAAGCACCGGCUAACUCUGUGCCAGCCGCCGCAGUAA
rnacentral:rRNA from 1 species